rnacentral:rRNA from 1 species
AUGUCAUCCGAAGAAUCAUGUCCAGUGAGUAGUCCAGCUCCAGCAACAAAACCACAUCUGGUUUUCACCAACAAGCUGGACCAGCGGCAUUGUACUCGGGUUUUGUUUGUGCCGUCCGCGCGGAAUGCCUUCUGCGUCCGCGCCUCCGCCACCGACACCGCCACGCAGCCAAUGAUGUCGGCAUGUGGUGAAAAAAGGGCCCAAGUGAAAGGUCGACCAAGCUGUAAAAAUUCAGUGAAGAGGAAUUUUUGUGCUCACAGCUCACACCAUGGCGUCCGUUGCCUCUGUUCUUACUUUAUUAUUUUGUUUUUCCCUUCGUCGAUUUUUCACGUCGCCUGA